rnacentral:rRNA from 1 species
UACGUAGGGUGCGAGCGUUAAUCGGAAUUACUGGGCGUAAAGCGUGCGCAGGCGGUUUUGUAAGCCCGAUGUGAAAUCCCCGGGCUUAACCUGGGAAUGGCAUUUGGGACUGCAAGGCUCGAGUGCGGCAGAGGAGACUGGAAUUCCUGGUGUAGCAGUGAAAUGCGUAGAUAUCAGGAGGAACACCGAUGGCGAAGGCAGGUCUCUGGGCUGACACUGACGCUCAUGCACGAAAGCGUGGGGAGCGAACGGG